GUCCACGCCGUAAACGAUGUGUGCUAUUAGUUCGAGGUAUCGACCCCUUGGGCUGAACAGCUAACGCGUUAAGCACACCGCCUGGGGAGUACGAGCGCAAGCUUAAAACUCAAAGGAAUUGACGGGGACCCGCACAAGCAGAGGAUGAUGUGGUUUAAUAUGAAGCUACGCGUAGAACCUUACCGAGGUUUGACAUCCCAGGAAGUCAGUCGAAAGACAGAUGUGCCUUUUGGAACCUGGUGACAGGUGCUGCAUGGCC
rnacentral:rRNA from 1 species